CAUCAGCGCGUUAAUGAGACGUAGAAAAUUGAUUAUCGGUUGUCAGGCGGAUCGUCAAGCUGAGGUUUGAACUCGAUCCGGAGACACCCGAGCAAUAUUUUCUGCAGUUUUGCAUAUCGAACAUCUUCCAUAUAGGUUAUAACGGGUUUGAUUGUAAUUACUAUUAUUGUUAUUACACGAUCCAGGAUAAUUCUGGGGAUUGGAGUAGAGAAUUGAAUUUAAUAAAAAAAAAAAAAACUUCUGAGUGAUUCCUCACGGUACUUAAAUCUGUUGAUGUAAGAAAUCACAAUCAUCGCAGCUAAAUGAUUGUACAAACAUUAUUCAACGAAUGAGGAAUACCAAUAAUUUAUUCAAUCAAUUUGAAUAGAACAAUACGUUACAUGCAUCUUAUGUUAACGUAAGCAGGAAAUUUAUUUUGCACUAUUCAAUAAAUAUAAAUACCUAAUACAUCUUCGUGUGCAUACAGUGUAAACAAGUAUGUGAAGAAUAGUUUUCAGAUGUUUUGUUCUACAGGGUCAUUUAUCACAGUUUCACUAGUGUAAUAAAAGUGCAAAAAAAUUCUAAACCUUGUAUUAAUAUUCUCCGCACUAUUGUAGAGGUAUACCUGAAUUAUUUAAGAAGUUCUGUCCACACUGUGCACGAAUAUUAAAAUGAGACAGUUGAAUUUUCAGGCAUGGACUCUUAUAAAAGACGCAACGAAUAUUGCGUUCUGAAUUGAGAAUAAUUAGUUAAAAAUAAGAAACUUAAACAAAGAGCUGUUGAAACUACUGAGAAUAUAUGUAGGAAUUUGCAUAAGAAAUUUGAAUCUCUUCGUCAGCAUCGUUUAUGAUUAAUUAACACAAACACAAGCAAAUGCGCAAGUGUGCUGGUUUCGCAGGGCGAAGUGUGGCUGGUGGAGAAGGCCGACUGCUCCUGGGACCGGUCGCCUGUUUCCCGCAGCGUCGGAGCUAAUGAAGUAUUCUUAAAUACUGGCCAUCACUACAACUGACAACAAACAACUGACGCAACCGAUCUUACUUGAAGCCCACAUAAGCGGUUGUCUCGAUCAAGGGUCACAGAUGGGUCAACAUCAGCCUCUGCCAUGAAACCAGCAUCCCAUAGUUGCUGCUUUACUUUGAAAGCAUAAUCAUCAAAUUGACUACUGACCGAAAUCACCAUUACCUGACGAGGUGAGAGCCAAAACGGCCAUUUACCAGCGUAGGAUUCAGUCAGGAUGGCUAUCAUCCGUUCAACAGAGCCUAAUAUUGCUCUGUGGAUAAUAACUGGCCUGGUUUUUUCCCCUGUUUCGCUGUAAUGUAAAAAGAUUGUGUAGUAAUUAAAUAGCAAUAGCUAAAGACUGAAAGAACCAAAA
rnacentral:lncRNA from 1 species